rnacentral:rRNA from 1 species
UUUUAUGGAGAGUUUGAUCCUGGCUCAGAGUGAACGCUGGCGGCGUGCCUAAUACAUGCAAGUCGAACGAUGAAGCUUCUAGCUUGCUAGAAGUGGAUUAGUGGCGCACGGGUGAGUAAGGUAUAGUUAAUCUGCCCUACACAAGAGGACAACAGUUGGAAACGACUGCUAAUACUCUAUACUCCUGCUUAACACAAGUUGAGUAGGGAAAGUUUUUCGGUGUAGGAUGAGACUAUAUAGUAUCAGCUAGUUGGUAAGGUAAUGGCUUACCAAGGCUAUGACGCUUAACUGGUCUGAGAGGAUGAUCAGUCACACUGGAACUGAGACACGGUCCAGACUCCUACGGGAGGCAGCAGUAGGGAAUAUUGC